GACAGAGGGUGCAAACGUUGUUCGGAAUUACUGGGCGUAAAGCGCGUGUAGGCGGCCCUGCAAGUCGGAUGUGAAAUCCCACGGCUCAACCGUGGAAGUGCAUUCGAAACUGCAGGGCUAGAGUCCUGGAGAGGAAGGUGGAAUGCUUGGUGUAGAGGUGAAAUUCGUAGAUAUCAAGCGGAACACCGGUGGCGAAGGCGGCCUCUGGACAGUGACUGACGCUGAGACGGCGAAAGCGUGGGGAGCAAACAGGG
rnacentral:rRNA from 1 species